UCUCUUAGUUUGUUGAAGAAAGGAUGUAUGUCCGAUUCCUCUGCAGUUUCCUGAAAUUCUGGAUACAUAAUGUUACAUAAAUUGUGAAAAUUCUAACAAGGAGCAAACAGCAAAGAACUGAAAUGCUAUACAGACUCCAGUGAGAAAAAACUGAGGUAAUUGGUUUCGGUGUGCUGGUGCUUGAAACUCUAUCCCAGUGCUUCCUUCAACUAAGGCUGCAAAUUGAAAAUGUGAAGAACCUUGCCUGCUUGAACCAGCCUGGGCUUGUGGCAGCAUCAUUCUGUCACUUAAUUCUUCUCACAGAGAUCACAUAGCUUUGCUUCCAUACCUAAAUUACUACAAAUUUGUGUCCGCUUGAAUGUUAUGUAAUUUAACCAGAAAUUGAAGAAAUACCACCAUUUUAAAGAAAAUAUGGUCAUAAACACUAUGGAAUACUAUGCAACCAUAACAAGAAUGAAAUCAUGUCCUUUGCAGCAACAUGGAUGUAGCUGGAGGCCAUUAUCCUGGGCAAAUUUGCAGGAGCAGAAAACCAGAUACCACAUCUCACAUGUAAGUGGGAGCUAAGCAUUUGGUAUACAUGGAUAUAAAGAUGGGAAAAAUAGACACUUGGUGACUAUUAGAGAGAGGAAAGAGGGAGAAGGGAGAAGCUAAAAACUACCUGUUGGGUAUUAUGCUCACUACUUGGGUGAUGGGAUCGUUUGUACCCCAAGCCUCAGCAUCACACGGUAUACCCAUGUAACAAACCUGCACACGGAUCCCCUGAAUCUAAAAUAAAAGUUGAAAUUAUUGUUUAAAAAAAAGGAUCUAAUAAACAUAGUAUUACAAUGUUGAUGCAUCCCUUAUUUUUAUUUAUUUAUUUAUUUUUGAGAUGCAACCUCCACCUCCUGGGUUCAAGCGAUUCUCCUGCCUCAGCCUCCUGAGUAGCAGGGAUUACAGGUGCAUGCCACCAUGCCCAGCUAAUUUUUUAUAUCUUUAGUAGAGACGGGGUUUCACCAUGUUGGCCAGGCUGGUCUCAAACUCCUGACUUUGUGAUCCACCUGCUUCGGCCUCCCAAAGUGCUGGGAUUUCAGGCGUGAGCCACCGCGCCC
rnacentral:lncRNA from 1 species